UACGUAGGGUGCAAGCGUUGUCCGGAAUUAUUGGGCGUAAAGAGCUCGUAGGCGGUUUGUUGCGUCGGCUGUGAAAUCCCGAGGCUCAACCUCGGGUCUGCAGUCGAUACGAGCAAACUAGAGUGUUGCAGGGGAGACUGGAAUUCCAGGUGUAGCGGUGAAAUGCGUAGAUAUCUGGAGGAAUACCGGUGGCGAAGGCGGCAUCCUGGACCGGCAUUGACGCUGAGGAGCGAAAAGCUAGGGGAGCAAACGGG
rnacentral:rRNA from 1 species